rnacentral:rRNA from 1 species
AUACGUAGGGGGCGAGCGUUGUCCGGAAUGAUUGGGCGUAAAGGGCGCGUAGGCGGCCCGGUAAGUCUGGAGUGAAAGUCCUGUUUUUAAGAUGGGAAUUGCUUUGGAUACUGUCGGGCUUGAGUGCAGGAGAGGUACGUGGAAUUCCCAGUGUCGCGGUGAAAUGCGUAGAGAUUGGGAGGAACACCAGUGGCGAAGGCGACUUACUGGACUGUAACUGACGCUGAGGCGCGAAAGUGUGGGGAGCAAACAGGAUUAGAUACCCUGGUAGUCCACACUGUAAACGAUGAAUGCUAGGUGUAGGGGGUAUCGACCCCUUCUGUGCCGCAGUCAACACAAUAAGCAUUCCGCCUGGGGAGUACGGCCGCAAGGUUGAAACUCAAAGGAAUUGACGGGG